rnacentral:rRNA from 1 species
UACGGGGGGGCAAGCGUUGUUCGGAAUUACUGGCGUAAAGGGCUCGUAGGCGGCCAACUAAGUCGGGUGUGAAAACCCCAGGCUCAACCUGGGGACGCCACCCGAUACUGCUAUAGCUAGAGUCCAGUAGGGGAGUGUGGAAUUCCCAGUGUAGCGGUGAAUGCGUAGAUAUCUGGAGGAAUACCGGUGGCGAAGGCGGCAUCCUGGACCGAUAUUGACACUGAUGAGCGAAAGCCAGGGGAGCAAACGGG